GGAUCUCCAGGUCGCUGCCGGUGGCCCCACGAUCCGCCGAGGUGCACGUCGUCUUCAGUCCACUCCACCGAUUCGGGUCCUGAUCCUGUCGCACAGGGCAGCGGCACGCACAUGUGCACCGCAGGAGUGAGGUUUACUCAUCGAUUACUGUAGAACCGUAUGCAUUACUAGCAAUGAUCUGUUUUCCUUUUUUCCGCCACACAGGUACUAAAAGCCCACUCUGUAAAAAGGCAGUUAUUCGGACGGCAUGAUGUGGAUUAUCAACGAAUUAAGCAUGCAUGGGUGCUCUUUUGGAGAGGAAGACAGCUAGCUCGCCACUAGGCGUUAGCCAUAUCAUGGCUAAAGCAUGGACAGUUUUGUUUUUCUGUUUUUUUGUUGUUGUUUUUUAGAGUGAGCCAGGCUCUAUCAGAACCCAAAAGUCCUUGCGGAAUUAGUGCAAGAAAAGCUAGACAGCCAUGAAUUACUCACCUGCCACGCUGCCACCCAAGGAAUUGCGCGCCUGUCUAU
rnacentral:lncRNA from 1 species